rnacentral:rRNA from 1 species
UUGGAGGGCAAGUCUGGUGCCAGCAGCCGCGGUAAUUCCAGCUCCAAUAGCGUAUAUUAAAGUUGUUGCAGUUAAAAAGCUCGUAGUUGAAUUUCGGGAUCAGAUUGUCGGUCGUGCCUCGGUACGCACUGGCAUUAUUGGUUCCUACCUUCUGAAGAACCGCGAUGUCAUUAAUUUGGUGUCGUGGGGAAUCAGGACUGUUACUUUGAAAAAAUUAGAGUGUUUAAAGCAGGCUUACGCUUGAAUACAUUAGCAUGGAAUAAUGAAAUAGGACGUUUGAUUCUAUUUUGUUGGUUUCUAGGAUUGACGUAAUGAUUAAUAGGGAUAGUUGGGGGCAUUAGUAUUCAAUUGUCAGAGGUGAAACUCUUGGAUUUAUUGAAGACUAACUACUGCGAAAGCAUUUGCCAAGGAUGUUUUCAUUAAUCAAGAACGAAAGUUAGGGGAUCGAAGACGAUCAGAUACCGUCGUAGUCUUAACCAUAAACUAUGCCGACUAGGGAUCGGAUGAUGUUAAUUUUUUAAUGACUCAUUCGGCGCCUUACGGGAAAC